AAUAUUGGACAAUUGGGGCAACCCUGAUCCAGCCAUGCCGCGUGUGUGAAGAAGGUCUUCGGUUUGUAUAGCUCUUUAAGUUGGGAGGAAGGCCUUUAGGUUAAUACUUUGUAGUUUUGACGUUACCAAUAGAUUAAGCACCUGCUAACUCUGUGCUUGCAGCCGCGGUAAUACAGAGGGUGCAAGCGUUAAUCGGAAUUACUGGGCGUAAAGCACGCGUAGGUGGUUCAGUAAGAUGGGUGUGAAAUCCCCGGGCUUAACAUGGGAACUGCUUUCAUAACUGCUGAGCUAGAGUACGGUAGAGGGUAGUGGAAUUUCCUGUAUAGCGGUGAAAUGCGUAGAUAUAGGAAGGAACACCAGUGGCGAAGGCGACUACCUGGACUGAUACUGACACUGAGGUGCGAAAGCGUGGGGAGCAAAC
rnacentral:rRNA from 1 species